rnacentral:rRNA from 1 species
UGAACUCAGACGUGAUACCCGCUGAACUUAGCAUAU